rnacentral:rRNA from 1 species
GACGAACGCUGGCGGCGUGCUUAACACAUGCAAGUCGAACGAUGAAACCUAGCUUGCUAGGUCGAUUAGUGGCGAACGGGUGAGUAACACGUGACUAACCUGCCCCUUUCUCUGGGAUAACGCUCCGAAAGGAGUGCUAAUACCGGAUACUCACACCGAGGCACAUGCCUUGGUGUGGAAAGUUUUUCGGAAAGGGAUGGAGUCGCGGCCUAUCAGCUUGUUGGUGAGGUAACGGCUCACCAAGGCGACGACGGGUAGCCGGCCUGAGAGGGCGACCGGCCACACUGGGACUGAGACACGGCCCAGACUCCUACGGGAGGCAGCAGUGGGGAAUAUUGCACAAUGGGCGCAAGCCUGAUGCAGCGACGCCGCGUGAGGGAUGAAGGUCUUCGGAUUGUAAACCUCUUUCAGUAGGGACGAAGCGAAAGUGACGGUACCUAAAGAAGAAGCACCGGCUAACUACGUGCCAGCCGCCGCCGUAA